GUCAAUAUGUUGGUCACUACUAAGGGAACCUUGUAGAGUUCAAGAAGUACUGUUCUCGCUGUGGAGUGGACUUCUUCAUCCAAGAGAAAGUCUAGUUUGAAGAAGAAGAGUAAACCCAUGAAGAAGCAGAAGAAAGAAAGCAAGCCAAAGAAGGACGUUCCAAAGAAGACUAAAGUAAAGGGAAAGUGUUUCUACUAUGAUACUGAAGGCCACUGGAGGAGGAACUAUUUACUCUACCUGAAGAGUCUGAAGACCAAAAAGAGUGACAAACCUUCAGAAGGUAU
rnacentral:lncRNA from 1 species